rnacentral:rRNA from 1 species
AACCAGCACCUCAAGUGGUCAGGAUGAUUAUUGGGCCUAAAGCAUCCGUAGCCGGCUCUGUAAGUUUUUGGUUAAAUCUGUACGCUCAACGUAUGGGCUGCCGAAAAUACUGUAGAGAUAGGGAGUGGGAGAGGUAGACGGUACUCGGUAGGAAGGGGUAAAAUCCUUUGGUCUAUUGAUGACCACCUGUGGCGAAGGCAGCUUUCUGGACCAAUACUGACGCUGAGGUACGAAAGCGUGGGUAGCAAACAGG